UUACAUAGAAUAAUUUAUAUUUUAUUUAAGAAAAAAUACACGGAUAUACCUUUACUAACACUAUUAUUCUUUUGAAGAUUCAGGAUAGAUUUGCUAGCUUACAAGUAUACUGCACAGCAAAAAGUAGGUUCACAUUUUGCACUUACAUUAUUCUAUAAAGGUAAAGCAAAAUGAGUGUCACAUUAUUAGUUAGGCUUUUCAGUUUUUUCUCUAGAAAAUUACUAUCUUUAAUGUUUGCUUUUAAAUUAUCCAACACUUCUUUCUUAUAAGCAUCAAAUACUCCUAUAUAUAGCGUUAUGACUAGGUAUAAGCGCGAGACGACUAAACUAAACAAAUCUGGACGAAUCUUUUUAUGCAAAUCUUUUUAUGCAAAUGAUGCCGUACGAAAGAUACGUAUUCAGACAUAAAGCUAUCCAAUGAGUUUAUAUCAUAAUACAAAAAAUUAUUUUAAUCCUAAGACGAAGGACUAUUUAACUAGUAUAGUCAUUGUCCUACGGCACAAUGAGGCCUUACAGGCAAAAUAUUUGAUCUCAGUAAUAUCUCGGAAAUUACAAGAUGUCCAUCUUUCCAUGAAAUCGUCACACUUUAUAAGUAUAUAUUGGAAAUAUUUUAUGACUAUUUCAGAAAUACUGUAUUUGCAUGUAUUCCGCGCGCACGUUUUUCCUCUACGUGGUCGCGAACGUCUCAAGUCACAGCACGCGCAGAGUAUCUUCGCGUUAAACGCAAGCACUGCACAGUUCCCACUUCAAUUUCUAUAUGUUUUGCUAGGACAGCGUAACCCCUGCGGCAGUAAAAUAUUUCUGAAGGCAGGCUAAGGCAUCUGGUGACAAGCUUGAUUUAAUCAUUGGUGUGACCUAGAAGAGACAUUAUUAAGCAUCAGUAAAAAUGACAACAAUUAAUAAGCUGCCGUGUUUUGGGUCUCAAACGCGGUGGUUCAAGCAGGGGUGGAAAAAGUAUCGGAACCUGGGAACCUAGUUCCCAGAAAUUUUUUUGAGUUGAGAGUUUUGCAGAAAAUUUUCCACAAAAUAUUUCAACAUUUUGAGAUAACUCUGUUU